UAUGGUACUCAAAACUACCUCCACAGAUGCAUGAUAUAAAUUUAGUCCAAACAAGAUAAAAGGAGUUAAACAGUAAUAUUGUUAGACCUACCUCAACCCUUUUCCUCUCUAGUAAUUUCGAUGAAAGGGAGUUGGUAUGGUCCCAACAA